AAGCACCAUUGGUGAUUAAGUUAAUUCACACAUUCACUGACAAAUCUAAACAUGCAUUUUAAUCACAAAACUAUUUCACCUUUAGUUUAAAAGGUGCUCUGAGGUCAAACGUCUGUUCUCUCUUGUUUUCAGACGCCUUUGCACAAAUGCACUGUCCUGUUCUAAUCCUGUCCCACCUUCCUUCAAGGUCCACAUCACUUCAGUUUUGCUGUUGAAAUGUGUGACAAAUGUAUACAGAGGCAAUACUGGUGGGGUGAUUCAACAAAGGGUGGCAUUGAAUGUUAACCUCCCAAUGCGCCAGUGUAGGCAUUAGGACCACUGGGAGAGCAGCCACAAAUGUGGGAGCAGAUAAAUGAACAUUACAUGGUGGAUACAAGUACCUUCAUUCCCCUCCACCCACCCCAAACUGGUCAGCUGCACAGGGCCAGACACAAACACACUGCUGCAAAGGCUUUGUAAAAGAAGAGUAUGGUGAGAUCUACACAUAUAUCAAGUGGGGAAAAAAAAAAAAAAAAAACAUCUGCACAACAUUGUAUAUGUUGCUGGCUGACUUUAGCUCUAUCUUUAGCUAUAUCCAAACACAAUUUGUUAUUUUAUUUCACACAUUAUUUAGGCCUACAUAUAAGAGAAAAUAAUAUCACAGUUGUAUAUAUUUUAAACACAAAUUAUUUAAAUAUGUUAACUUAUUAUUGAAGCAGAGUCUGAAAAUUUACUUUGUUUUCUGUUUAUUUGUUGUCAGUAAUUAGUACAUUCAUUAUAUAAAUACAAAAUAUCUGACACAUGCAUAAAUGUCAUAUGAAUUAUUUUAAAAAAUUAUAGUUAUUUUUUCAAAUGUAGCUAUGUGCAAAAGUAGCCUAUGUGUCUUAUACCACAGUUUAGUCAACCGGUUUGGAUUGGGCUGUAUGGCUAUAUUUAGGAUGUGUUUAUGAACUACUCUGGGUUUUCAGUGAUCCACAACAGCCUAUCAACAACUCCAUUCCCAUUCCUGAAAGGCCCGGUUGUCCGGUAAAAACACAAUUUUUUCGUUUCGUCGCAACUCUAAGUGAUGUGGGUCAGUGACAAAUAUGAACGUCAGAGAAGACAAAAACGUUAAAGUUUUUUUUAAUCUAUUUUUAAAACAAUUUUCCUGUAUGGGGCUAAUCCAUCAAAAUGUGAUUACAAAAACCCGUAAUAUGACCUUGACGCAAUCUUGAGGGUCUUAUGGGGUCACAUGACAACAAAAUACCUUAGGCCUGUUUUUAAUAAUAUUGAAAAAAAAUUACAAAAUAGAAAGAUUUUUACGCAAAAAAAUUCAGACACAAAUCUCGAUAGGCUACUCCAAAAACGUGCGUUUUGAGCCGUUUUUCGUAUUGAAUUGCAUUUUAAUGUUGUUAAAUAACUUAAUAGAUUCGGACAAAAAUAGUGUCACGUCAUUGACCCAUAUAUGAAAGGAAGAAGAGUUGACAAGAAUUCUAAUUACAAACAGAAGGGGUCCUAUCAUGGGACAGCGGUGGGUGUUCACCCCGUUCACAAUGGCAUCUGCUCUGCAGAUUUUUCAGAGCCCAUCCUGUCAGGGCGCUUUUUUAUAUAAUGAAGGUACACGCACAAAGAGAACAAAGCGCGGGACACCUGGUAUCAUAAUAUGCGAUGGGUGGUCAAGAGGCUCUUCACUCCGCGUGCCUCGCACAUGUGGUAUUACUUUACCGUCUCCAGACAGACAGUCUUCCACGAUGCGCGCUAGCAUUAGCGGCUAUAUGUUUUCACCGUCGGCCUUGCACUUCAAAAGGCGGGUAAAUCGCGCAGUCUCCUCCUCGGUCUCUCAUCGCUGGCUCUGCAGUCCCGAGGUGGCGAGAGAUGACAGAACCAGCUCAAGACUCUGAGUGAUUUCUGGGGCAGCCGCACAGCACUAAGCAUGAAGAAGUCCUUUUACACAGCCUGCGAGAUGUGUGGUCCGAAGGGUGCUAUCCCAUUCCUCUCUCUUUGUCUUGUGUGUGUGAGCUCACUGUGUGUCUGUCCAGACAAGAAAAAACACACACGCAUUACAGCAACAACUGUUCCAUCGUUGUAGGACACGAGCAUGGAAAUAGUUAUGGAGGAGGCCCGGAUGUCAGUUCCCCUUCAUGCCCUCGACAGAAUGGACCUCCAAGCAGCGUGACAUUACUCCAUCAAUCUGUGUUUAAAGAGCAGUGUGUGUCCGCAGUGCAGCAUGUUAACAGGCAUCUCUCUCUUUCUCUUCACGUUCAUGUUCAGGCACACUCAAAAUCCCACAUAUGCUUGUAUG